GAGUUUGGUUUAGGGUUUGGUUAGGAUUUGGUUUAAGAUCAAGUAUUUGGAUUAGGAUUUGAUUUAGGGUUUAAGGUUUGAUUUAGGGUUUGGUUAGAGUUUGAUUUAGGAUUUAGAAUUUGGUUUGGAUUUGAUUUAGGAUUAAAGAUUUAGAUUAGGAUUUAAUUAGGAUUUGAUUUAAGGUUUAGGAUUUAAUUAGGAUUUACUUUAGGAUUUAGGGUUUGGUUUAGGGUUUGAUUUAGGAUUUAGAAUUUUGAUUAGGGUUUGGUUUAGGAUUUAGGAUUUAGAUUAGGAUAUGGUAAGGGUUUUAUUUAGGAUUUAGGAUUUGGUUAGGAUUUGGUUUAGGAUUUGGUUGGGAUUUGGUUUAAGGUUUGUUUAGGGUUUGAUUUAGGGUUUAGUAUUUUAUUAGGAUUUAAGAUUCAAUUAGUUUUGGCUUAAAGUUUGAAUGAAGUUCAAUAUAAUUUUAACUAGAAUGAAAUUAAGAUUGAAUUGAGAUGUAUUUGAAUGAUAUUUGUGAUCCUUCUAGUAUUUCUUUAAGAAUUCUUACUGUUUGUUUGAAAUUUCUUUGAGGUUUUUUUUAAUUUAAUUGAAGCUUUUUGAGCAUUAUUAUGAUCUAAUUAGAGUUUAAUUAGUAUUCUAUUAGAAUCAGAAUUUUGUUGUUGUAAUUUCCAUUCUUCCUUCUACAACCAAGUGCUUGUAGCAUUCUCAAGCAAGACUUCACAUAUUACGAUAUAUU
rnacentral:lncRNA from 1 species